rnacentral:rRNA from 1 species
CCUACGGGAGGCAGCAGUGAGGAAUAUUGGUCAAUGGACGCAAGUCUGAACCAGCCAUGCCGCGUGCAGGAAGACGGCUCUAUGAGUUGUAAACUGCUUUUGUACGAGGGUAAACGCAGAUACGCGUAUCUGUCUGAAAGUAUCGUACGAAUAAGGAUCGGCUAACUCCGUGCCAGCAGCCGCGGUAAUACGGAGGAUUCAAGCGUUAUCCGGAUUUAUUGGGUUUAAAGGGUGCGUAGGCGGAUUGAUAAGUUAGAGGUGAAAUGUCCGAGCUUAACUCGGGAACUGCCUCUAAUACUGUUGAUCUAGAGAGUAGAUGCGGUAGGCGGAAUGUAUGGUGUAGCGGUGAAAUGCUUAGAGAUCAUACAGAACACCGAUUGCGAAGGCAGCUUACCAAUCUAUAUCUGACGUUGAGGCACGAAAGCGUGGGGAGCAAACAGGAUUAGAUACCCUAGUAGUC